AGGCCGGGCAGGCGGGCGGGGACGCAGGGCGGGAGCAAGGCUGACCACAGACCCCCGCAGGCCGACACGCUCAAGGAGCGGUACCAGAAGAUCGGGGACACCAAACGCGCCACGCCCAUCGAGGUGCUCUGCGAGAACUUCCCAGAGGAGAUGGCCACGUACCUGCGCUAUGUGCGGCGCCUGGACUUCUUCGAGAAGCCCGACUAUGACUACCUGCGGAAGCUCUUCACCGACCUCUUCGACCGCAGUGGCUUCGUGUUCGACUAUGAGUACGACUGGGCCGGGAAGCCCCUG
rnacentral:lncRNA from 1 species